AGAGUUAAAUAGUACGUGAAAUUGUUGAAAGGGAAACGAUUGAAGUCAGUCAUGCCGGUGAGAAAUCAGCCCACAGAGCUGUGGGUGCACUUUUUCGCAAGGCAGGUUAACAUCGGUUUCUGUUGCGUCAUAAUAAUUGUAGGAAGGUGGCUCCUUCGGGAGUGUUAUAGCCUACUUUAGAUGUCGCGACGGGGACUGAGGAUUGCAGCGGAUGCCUUUGGCUACGGGUCUUGUCUCUGUCGAUCUUCAAUUAGCUUUCAGCUUGCUGAGAUCUGGUUGAUAGAUUUACAAUAGGUUUGAUUCCGUUAAAUUCGCUAAGGAUGUUGACGUAAUGACUUUAAACGACC
rnacentral:rRNA from 1 species